rnacentral:rRNA from 1 species
GUGGGGAAUAUUGGUCAAUGGGCGCAAGCCUGAACCAGCCAUGCCGCGUGAAGGAAUGAGGCCCUAUGGGUCGUAAACUUCUUUUGUGGUGGAGCAAUAAGGUGCACGUGUGCAUCGAUGAGAGUACAUCACGAAUAAGCAUCGGCUAACUCCGUGCCAGCAGCCGCGGUAAUACGGAGGAUGCAAGCGUUAUCCGGAUUUAUUGGGUUUAAAGGGUGCGUAGGCUGUUCGACAAGUCAGGGGUGAAAGCCCGGCGCCUAACGCCGGAACUGCCUUUGAUACUGCCGAGCUGGAAUACGGAUGCCGUGGGAGGAAUGAGUAGUGUAGCGGUGAAAUGCAUAGAUAUUACUCAGAACACCGAUUGCGAAGGCAUCUCACGAAUCCGUCAUUGACGCUGAGGCACGAAAGCGUGGGGAUCAAACAGG